rnacentral:rRNA from 1 species
CUGGUUGAUCCUACCAGUAAUAUACGCUUGUCUCAAAGGUUAAGCCAUGCAUGUCUAAGUACAAACAUAAAUGAAUGUGAAACCGCAUAAGGCUCAGUAUAACAGCUAUAAUUCACAAGAUCAUCCUACCACUAGUUACUUGGAUAACUGUGGAAAAUCCAGAGCUAAUACAUGCAACAUGCCGGGACUGUUGCCCUCGCGGGUAGCUGAACUGGUGCACUUAUUAGUUAAACCAAUCGCCUCCGGGCGGCUUGAGUUGAAGUCUGGAUAAGGACGCAGAUCGUAUGGUCGCUUGUCGACUGACGACAGAUCUUUCAAAUGUCUGCCCUAUCAACUAUUGAUGGUAGUGUAGAGGACUACCAUGGUUGCGACGGGUAACGGGGAAUCAGGGUUCGAUUCCGGAGAGGGAGCCUGAGAAAUGGCUACCACAUCCAAGGAAGGCAGCAGGCGCGUAAAUUACCCAAUCCCAGUACGGGGAGGUAGUGACGAGAAAUAACAAUAUGGACCUCUCUAACGAUGGUCCAUAAUUGGAAUGAGUUGAGUAUAAAUCCUUCAACAAGGAUCAAGUGGAGGGCAAGUCUGGUGCCAGCCAGCCGCGGUAAUUCCAGCUCCACUAGCGUAUAUU